rnacentral:lncRNA from 1 species
ACGUCCACAGAGUCCAGGAUCCAAUCGCUUUCGUACGCCGCGUGGGACACCUCCUCGCUCUGCGUCGCAUGGGUACGAUAAGUAUAGCAGCGAUUAAAUGGCGAUGACUCGGUCGAUAUCACAGAUGGAUCGAUUCGGCAGAAGUUUUCUUUCGGGACCACCACCAGGGCAGAAAAAUUGAAAACAGUUUAGUAAAGUUCAAAGAAUAGUUUGAAAAAAAGUGGACCCUUUGACGUGCUGAAAGGAAAGAAAGGAAAAAGAAAAGGAGCAAUGAAAACGACCUUUUGAAACAAAGGUAGUAAGGAACGGUGGAUGGAAUUUCACCUUCGGGCCUGGCUUUGGGUUUUGGUAAACCAAUUUCUUGCAUAAGAUCGAAU